AACAGAAAUGAUGAGCUCAUGAUACCGCCCCAGUCUGAACUUUCAUGACUGAUUGGUUGACUCUGAUCUUGAA
ensembl:snoRNA SNORD31 Small nucleolar RNA SNORD31